GUGGGACACAGUGCCAGAAGGCUUCAGCCAGCGCUCCUGCUGUGCGGGGCACAAGCGCAUAAGGCAAAGCUUGCAUCUACAAACCAUUUCAGGGUUUAUGUGCUUCCCUGUUCUCUUCAUUUGGGCAGGACCUCAAUUUCCUGAAGGAACUCUUCCUCCCUGACUCGCCUUGUUAGCCACACUGGCAUCCUCCUGAACUUAUUGGUAUCUUUCCUCUUUCUUGUUAUUGUUGUUUUAAAUAAAUUCCAUGCUCUCUGGA